CCUGGUGGCUCAGAUGGUAAAGAAUCUGCCUGCAAUGCAGAAGACCCAGGUUCAAUCCCUGGGUCAGGA
rfam:Ovis aries breed Texel chromosome 5, whole genome shotgun sequence.